GACGAACGCUGGCGGCGUGCCUAAUACAUGCAAGUCGAACGAACCGCGACUAAGUGCUUGCACUAAGUCAAGGUGAGUGGCGAACGGGUGAGUAACACGUGGGUAACCUACCUCAUAGUGGGGGGUAACAGUCGGAAACGACUGCUAAUACCGCAUAGGACAUAGGAUCACAUGAUCCAGUGAGGAAAGGUGGCGCAAGCUAUCGCUAAGAGAUGGACCCGCGGUGCAUUAGCUAGUUGGUAGGGUAAAGGCCUACCAAGGCGAUGAUGCAUAGCCGACCUGAGAGGGUGAUCGGCCACAUUGGGACUGAGACACGGCCCAAACUCCUACGGGAGGCAGCAGUAGGGAAUCUUCCGCAAUGGACGCAAGUCUGACGGAGCAACGCCGCGUGAGUGAGGAAGGUCUUCGGAUCGUAAAGCUCUGUUGUUAGAGAAGAACAGCGCAUAGAGUAACUGCUAUGCGUGUGACGGUAGCUAACCAGAAAGCCACGGCUAACUACGUG
rnacentral:rRNA from 1 species